CUCUCUCUCUCUCUCUCUCUCUCUCUCUCCUGAUGCUAUGCAGUGCCCUGCUGAGAACCAUUACAGCUUAUAGCCCUGAGGGUGCAGGCCGUCGCGUCAGCAGCAGACACAAUUCAGACCUCAAUUAUCUUCAGAUCCAUCUUUGUCGCUGACAAUUUUAUGUGCACAUCGGUAAUUGUGAAGAAAUUAAUGCAAUGGAGAGCUUGGGGAAAGGACGGGCAGUGCAGAUCAUUUUGAAUUCACCUGCACCUGCAAUAAUUCUCAUUCUACGGAGAAAGUACAGUGGGUCUCUCCCCAUGAGGUACAAGACUACAUACAUUCCUCUGGUUGAAAUGUUGUCAACACCUAAAACCCGAGGUUAUUUGUGGUAGCAAUGUUGCUAAUUGGAGUCCAGUAAAGGAUAAACGAGUGGAUAAAACCCAAGUAAGUACUACUUCUGUUUGAAUCAUGGUGAUAAAAAUACUGUUUAUGCAGUUUUUUCCAUUAAUGUGUGAAUCCAUUUAACAUCUUAAGCUUGAAACAUCAUUUUCCAUUACAGCAAUUAUAGGUUAUGAAAAAUGUACAUUUUAGUGUCCCAUAACAUUCACUCAAUGAUAUUAUCUGCACAUCCACAUGGAAUAUUUGGACAAAAGGUUCAGAAGGAAGUCAUCUGAAUUUCUUGAAGCUCACGAGAAGAAAAAACUUAAAGUAUG
ensembl:lncRNA